GGCCGAUGUAGUUUUUGUAUAUAUUUGUUUUAAUUUCAUUUUAGGUUUUUACGUAUAUUUAUCAUAUAUAACUAGUUGUCCGUUUCAGUCAGCUAUAACAAAGUGUAUCUGACCUGUCUUACCUACUAACUGCCCCAUGGCCAGAAGCUUCAUUUGCUGAUUGGCCAAGCUAACACCUAUUGUUAAACUGCAUGCUUUGAUUACACUGCAUACUCUCUCAGCACAUAAACUGACAGAACUGCUCAGACCAGCAAAGUGUAAAGAGACAAUAUUAAAUCAGAUAAUCUAUGGUGUUGCCAUACGUGUGGCAGUUGGGAUCCACACCCUUGUAUCACCCACAGGGGUGUAUGAUAUAUAGAUCCUUGAUCACACUCAACGCAUCGCAAUAAAGACCUCAACCCCGUA